rnacentral:rRNA from 1 species
GCAGAAUUCGCCUUUAGAGUUUGAUCCUGGCUCAGGAUGAACGCUGGCGGUAUGCUUUACACAUGCAAGUCGUACGAGAGUUUUUAACUCAAGUGGCGGACGGGUGAGUAACACGUAAGAAUUUGCCUUUAGGAGGGGGAUAACAACUGGAAACGGUUGCUAAUACCCCAUAUGCUUUCGAGUAAAAUGGAUUUUCCGCCUAAAGAGAAGCUUGCGGCUGAUUAGCUUGUUGGUGAGGUAAUGGCUCACCAAGGCGACGAUCAGUAUCUGGUUUGAGAGGACGAUCAGACACACUGGAACUGAGACACGGUCCAGACUCCUACGGGAGGCAGCAGUGGGGAAUUUUCCGCAGUGGGCGAAAGCCUGACGGAGCAAUACCGCGUGAGGGAUGACGGCCUAUGGGUUGUAAACCUCUUUUUUCAGGGAGGAAUCAAUGACGUGUACCUGAAGAAUAAGCAUCGGCUAACUCCGUGCCAGCAGCCGCGGUAAGACGGAGGAUGCAAGUGUUAUCCGGAAUCACUGGGCGUAAAGCGUCUGUAGGUGGUCAAAUAAGUCAACCGUUAAAUCUUGAGGCUCAACCUCAAAAUCGCAGUCGAAACUAUUCGACUAGAGUAUAGUAGGGGUAAAGGGAAUUUCCAGUGGAGCGGUGAAAUGCGUAGAGAUUGGAAAGAACACCGAUGGCGAAGGCACUUUACUGGGCUAUUACUAACACUGAGAGAUGAAAGCUAGGGUAGCAAAUGGGAUUAGAUACCCCAGUAGUCCUAGCCGUAAACAAUGGAUACUAGAUGUUGAACAGAUCGACCUGUGCAGUAUCAAAGCUAACGCGUUAAGUAUCCCGCCUGGGAAGUAUGCUCGCAAGAGUGAAACUCAAAUGAAUUGACGGGGAAGGGC